CCUACGGGAGGCAGCAGUGGGGAAUAUUGGACAAUGGGGGGAACCCUGACCCAGCCAUGCCGCGUGUGUGAAGAAGGCCCUCGGGUUGUAAAGCACUUUCAGUGAGGAAGAACGCCUGGUGGUUAAUACCCAUCAGGAAAGACAUCACUCACAGAAGAAGCACCGGCUAACUCCGUGCCAGCAGCCGCGGUAAUACGGAGGGUGCGAGCGUUAAUCGGAAUUACUGGGCGUAAAGCGCGCGUAGGUGGCUUGAUAAGCCGGUUGUGAAAGCCCCGGGCUCAACCUGGGAACGGCAUCCGGAACUGUCAAGCUAGAGUGCAGGAGAGGAAGGUAGAAUUCCCGGUGUAGCGGUGAAAUGCGUAGAGAUCGGGAGGAAUACCAGUGGCGAAGGCGGCCUUCUGGACUGACACUGACACUGAGGUGCGAAAGCGUGGGUAGCAAACAGGAUUAGAUACCCUUGUAGUC
rnacentral:rRNA from 1 species